GUGAUUUUACCUGAUAUCGAAUCAAUACGUAAUCCCCCGUCCUCGCCGCCGAGACGAAACAUCUUUAAGCUGCUUUUAGAGAAAAGAAAAGAUCCAGAGAAAUGUGGAGACACCGACUCAGACGAGGGUUUCCUUUGUUUUUAGGGAUGUUUGAAUCCACUGACUUCCAUGGUCUUCCUUCUGAGAUGGUCUAGGAUGGAAAUCGAGAUUUGAAAUCGACGGAAAAGCAAACGGGAAGUCUUCAGCCGAUCUUCAAGACUCCAGCUGGUGAUCAGAGGUAGAUCACCUGCCAGGAUCCCCACCUGAGACUCAUCAUCAUCAGCAGCUCGUUAAAAGCGAGCCUCACACAGCCUGGAGGUCUGGGAUCGUACUGUUGGUCCAGCAGUCCAAGAGAGAACCAAGAGACUGAGAGCCUUUAUGAUCCGUCCUACGGGACUGAAGGACCGAGCUGCUGGUCUCCUCCUGUAGAACCUCCUGAUAGAGGUGUUGGACCCACACAGGCCUCUGGACAGAAGACAUGUCCUCCAUCCAUGGACUGCACCGACCAGCCUGACCCAGUUGCUGGACUCCGGAUCCGACGUGUGCCUCUCCUCCUUCCUCUCCCCACUCGUUGUGAGUUUUGGCCUUUGUGGCAGAUUAUUGAUUAUAUUAUCAAAUAAAUAAAUCCUGAUCGUA